CUGGCAGUAGUCAUGGGUCUGCUCGACUAUGGGAUGAGCAACGCAAGUUAAUAAUUCAGGAAGCAUUUUUAAAGGUUCUUCUUCCUUCAUUGGAGAAAGAAGCUCGAGCCUUGUUGAUCACCAGAGCAAAGAGUUGGCUGCUUAUGGAAUAUGGAAAGCAAUUGUGGAAAAGAGUGUCGAUUGCACCAUAUCAGCAGAAGGAAUACGCUGCUGGACAGGAGGAAGGUAUUGCACCAAGAGUCGCGGCUUGCUGCUGGGGUCCUGGAAAGCCACCAAUUACAUUUGUAAUGUUGAAUUCAUCUGGACAAUUGCUUGAUGUGUUGGAAGCCAGAUCCCUUAGCCUGCGGUCACAGGAUGUUAUUGACCAGCAACGGAAGAAAUAUGACCAGCAACGUGUCUUCAAGUUCAUAUUAAAUCAUAGGCCAAACGUUAUAGUCCUUGGUGCUGCUAAUGUGUGUUGCACAUGGUUGAAGGAUGAUAUUGAGGAG
rnacentral:misc_RNA from 1 species